AUUGAACGCUGGCGGCAUGCCUUACACAUGCAAGUCGAACGGUAACGCGGGGCAACCUGGCGACGAGUGGCGAACGGGUGAGUAAUAUAUCGGAACGUGCCCAGUAGUGGGGGAUAGCCCGGCGAAAGCCGGAUUAAUACCGCAUACGACCUACGGGUGAAAGCGGGGGAUCGCAAGACCUCGCGCUAUUGGAGCGGCCGAUAUCAGAUUAGGUAGUUGGUGGGGUAAAGGCCUACCAAGCCUACGAUCUGUAGCUGGUCUGAGAGGACGACCAGCCACACUGGGACUGAGACACGGCCCAGACUCCUACGGGAGGCAGCAGUGGGGAAUUUUGGACAAAUGGGCGGCAAGCCUGAUCCAGCCAUGCCGCGUGCGGGAAGAA
rnacentral:rRNA from 1 species